UGGGGAAUAUUGGACAAUGGGCGCAAGCCUGAUCCAGCCAUGCCGCGUGUGUGAAGAAGGCCUUUUGGUUGUAAAGCACUUUAAGCGAGGAGGAGGCUACUUGGAUUAAUACUCUAGGAUAGUGGACGUUACUCGCAGAAUAAGCACCGGCUAACUCUGUGCCAGCAGCCGCGGUAAUACAGAGGGUGCGAGCGUUAAUCGGAUUUACUGGGCGUAAAGCGUGCGUAGGCGGCUUCUUAAGUCGGAUGUGAAAUCCCUGAGCUUAACUUAGGAAUUGCAUUCGAUACUGGGAAGCUAGAGUAUGGGAGAGGAUGGUAGAAUUCCAGGUGUAGCGAUGAAAUGCAUAGAGAUCUGGAGGAAUAACGAUGGCGAAGGCAGCCAUCUGGCCUAAUACUGACGCUGAGGUACGAAAGCAUGGGGGGCAAACAGG
rnacentral:rRNA from 1 species